UGUUAUCAAGUCUUCGUUUUACAUGUGGGGUGUUUGGAAGCUCUAGCUAGGCUUGUUUGAAAUGUCUUUGGAGUCGUGGGUUGAAGACCGUCUGCAUACUUUAUUGGGGAUGUCAGACAAAACUACCGUGCAAUAUUUAAUUGGACUGAGUAGAAAGGCGAGUAACAGCGAGCAGCUAGUCAACAAUCUCACUCAGUCUGGCGCUGUUACAAUGGAUGAUGGAAUGAAUCUGUUUGUAAGAGAAUUGUGGGAUCGCGUACCUCACCGUGCUGCGACGGAAAAGCGGGAGAGACUACGCGAAAGAGAAAUCAUCGCACAGAGACAGAAGAACUUGAGUUAUCGUCUUCUUUCCGAUGAAGACGAUGACGCAUUUGAGGAGCAACAACCGAUCAAAUCGUUUCCCAAGCAGAAGACGAGGAAGCAUUUGAGAGCGAAGAAAUCGACUUGGUCGAGUAGUGAAAGUGAAGAGGAAACUGUAGUGAAGAAGAAAGCAAAGAGUGACUCUGAUGACUCUGAUGAUUGGGAAAAAGAGGAAGAACAUCGAAGGAAAGACUUAGAAGAACGAGAUGCGUUCAGUGAGCGGGUCAAGCAGAGAGACAAAGACAAGACAAGAAAUAUUGUUGAAAGGUCUGAUAGGAAGGCAAUGGAAGAGGCAAGGAAAACGCUAAACGUUGCUGCUGCAGAUAGGAAGAAACUGGUGCCAGAAUUGAGAGUCAAAAGUCGACGAGAAUAUCUAAAGAAACGAAGAGGAGAUAAAUUGGACGAAGUUUUAGGAGACAUAGAAGAUGAGGAAUAUUUGUUUCCUGAGAUCAAACUGACCAAACGUGAAAAAUCGGAGCAUUCCUACAAGAAGACCGUCUAUAAAUUGGCAAAAGAGUAUGAAAAGGCUCGAGACAUUGAGAAAAUCCAACGUUAUGAAAUGCCUAAAGAAGACGUAAAACCUUCCAAAUACGAUGAAAUUAUUACAGAAGAAAUGGGACCAAAUCAUGAGCAGAAGAAAUGGGAGGAAGCAUUGAUUAGUAAAUCAAAAAUGGCCACUGGAGCCAAAGAUGCAAAGGAAAGACACAAGAGUGGAGAGUACGAGCUGUUGGUUGAUGAGAUUCCAUUUGUAAUGGCAGAAACUAAACCUGGAACAGAGCAGGUGGAGAGGGAAAUGAUGUCUGAUGCAGAAAUAAAGAAGAAAUCAAUUGAAGAGACUCGUCGUAGUCUUCCAAUCUUUAAAUUCAGAGACGACCUUCUUAAAGCAGUUGAAGAUCACCAAGUGCUGGUUAUAGAAGGCGAAACAGGCUGUGGCAAGACAACACAGCUGCCUCAAUAUUUGUAUGAGUCAGGAUGGUGUAAAGAUGGCAAGAAGAUUGGGUGCACACAACCCCGACGUGUAGCUGCUAUGAGUGUGGCAGCUCGAGUGUCCGAAGAGAUGGAAGUGAAACUGGGCAAUGAGGUUGGCUAUAGUAUUCGCUUUGAGGAUUGCACAUCAGAACGGACUGUUGUCAAGUACAUGACUGAUGGCAUGCUUUUAAGGGAGUUUCUUGGAGAACCAGAUCUGCAGUCAUACAGUGUUAUGAUAAUUGAUGAAGCUCAUGAAAGAACACUUCACACAGAUGUUCUGUUUGGUUUAGUCAAAGACAUUGCUAGAUUUAGACCUGAGCUCAAGUUGAUAAUCUCAAGUGCCACUUUGGACACAGAGAAGUUCUCACAGUUUUUUGAUGAUGCUCCUGUGUUUCGCAUUCCAGGAAGGCGAUUUCCUGUUGAUAUCUACUACACAAAAGCACCAGAAGCUGACUACUUAGACGCUUGUGUUGUGUCAGUUUUGCAGAUACAUCUUACACAACCUGAUGGUGACUGUUUAGUAUUUCUUACUGGUCAAGAAGAGAUUGAAGCAUGCUGUGAGAGUCUACAGGAUCGUUGUCGUCGUCUUGGUCGUCGUAUCAAAGAGCUGCUCAUUCUACCCAUUUAUGCAAACCUUCCCUCUGACAUGCAGUCAAAGAUAUUUGAGCCCACACCUCCUGGAGCAAGGAAGGUUGUUGUUGCAACUAACAUUGCAGAAACAAGCCUCACUAUUGAUGGCAUCAUUUAUGUUAUUGAUCCUGGCUUCUGUAAGCAAAAAAGCUAUAAUCCUCGGACAGGCAUGGAGUCAUUGGUUGUUACACCUUGCUCUAAAGCUUCAGCUAAUCAGAGAGCUGGACGAUCAGGCAGAGUCGCAGCUGGCAAGUGUUUCCGGCUUUACACAGCUUGGGCUUACAAAAAUGAGCUGGAAGAGAACACAGUGCCUGAGAUUCAACGAACAAAUCUCGGAAAUGUAGUGUUGAUGCUGAAGUCUCUUGGUAUUGAUGAUCUUAUUCAUUUUGACUUUUUGGAUCCUCCACCAGCAGAAACACUCAUCAUGGCUUUAGAACAGCUUUAUGCUCUUGGAGCUCUUAAUCAUCAAGGAGAGCUAACAAAGUUGGGUCGUCGUAUGGCUGAGUUUCCUGUUGAUCCUAUGCUGUCUAAGAUGCUGAUAGCUUCAGAAAAAUAUCAUUGCUCAGAGGAGAUUUUGACUGUCACAGCUAUGUUGUCUGUCAAUAAUGCAAUAUUUUAUCGACCAAAGGAUAAGAUAGUACAUGCUGAUAAUGCACGAAAGAAUUUUUUCCGGCCUGGUGGUGACCAUCUAUCACUGCUAAAUGUGUAUAAUGAAUGGGUUGAAACUGAUUUCUCCACUCAAUGGUGUUUUGAGAAUUUCAUUCAAUAUCGGUCAAUGCGUCGUGCUCGAGAUGUUAGAGAUCAGCUUGAAGGGCUGAUGGAGAGGGUGGAGAUUGAGAUGACGUCAAAUGUCAGUGAUUCUGUGGCUAUUAGAAAAGCAAUUACUGCUGGCUUUUUCUAUCACACAGCCAAGUUUUCUAAGGGUGGACAAUACAAAACAGUAAAGCAUCAGCAGGCUGUUCACAUCCAUCCCAACAGUUGUCUGUUUGAGGAUCAGUCAAGAUGGUUAAUUUACCACGAAUUGGUUUUCACAACAAAAGAAUAUAUGAGGCAAGUGAUUGAGAUAGAAAAUCAGUGGCUGCUAGAAGUUGCACCUCAUUAUUACAAAGCAAAAGAACUGCAAGACACAGCCACUCAGAAAUUACCUAAAACUUUAGGUGUUACCAAAGAACAAGCCCGUGCUGUCUAAGAAUCUUCUUGUACAUGUAGUCUUGACUUUUGGAACAAAAUGCAAAUACAUUAUUCAUAUGUUCAAAACUGUAGCAUUGUUUGAGCUUUUUAUCAGUAGUUCUAAUGCAGUCAACUUUAUUGCUAUUCUGGGAUCUACAAACUGUUUCUUUUGUUCUUUAUUCUCAGCAACUAACUGUGACACUUGCAAUUCCAGUUGUUUGAUCUUUGCCCUGUACUUUCCUUGUUUGCUUGUGUUGUCUGCAGCCAGUGAUUUGGGCA